UAUUGCCAGACUCAGAAUUUGUUCUGUUUACUGAUGGCAGUUCUUACUAUCAGGAUGGGGUAAGGUACACGGGUUUUGCGAUAACCACACAAUGGGAAGUUAUGGAGGCUGCCGCUCUCCCAGGGAGAUGGGGCGUACAAGCCGCGGAAAUAUAUGCCCUUGCUAGAGCCUGCCAGCUUGCUUCAGGAAAGAAAGUCACGAUCUAUACGGAUAGCAGAAAAAACUGCAAGAGCUUUGGAGAACUGCCUGGUAUUCAAAAACGGUGCCCCUCGAGGACCAAGUGCAUCCAUACCAGCCCGGAGACUUUGUUUGGGCAAAAAAGUUUGUGAGAGGCGAUUCGCUUCAGCCAAAAUACACAGGACCACAUCAAGUCCUGUUAUCUACACAGGCUGCUGUUUUCCUGGAAGGAAGUCGUGGAUUCAUCAUUCCCACGUAAAACCCGCAGUAAUAACAGCUUCACCACCACCUGUAGUUCCCAAGCUCCGGCUGAGAAGAAGUGGAGAAACAGGACAGUGGCAGACAGACCAGUUCCUAUUUCAAGACAUGGAGAUCGAUUGAAAGCCCGAAGUUAAAGAGACAUUUCUUAUAUUAUAAUGUUCUUAAUCAGUUUUGUGUUAUAUGUCUUGUUUUUGUACUUGUCCUGUGUACAAGGUUUGUGCUGCCCAUCGGGUACUAAGAUUUGUGAUGUUUCUGAUUAUAAUGUACUUGUGGAAUUUGGAAGAACAGUUCCAAAAACA